rnacentral:rRNA from 1 species
CCUACGGGUGGCAGCAGUAGGGAAUAUUGCUCAAUGGAGGCAACCCUGAAGCAGCAACGCCGCGUGGAGGAUGAAGGUUUUCGGAGUUGUAAAUCGUUUUGUUAGAGAAGAUAAUGACGGUAUCUAACGAAUAAGCACAGGCUAACUCGGUGCCAGCAGCCGCGGUAAUACGGAGGGUGCAAGCGUUACUCGGAGUCACUGGGCGUAAAGAGCGCGUAGGCGGGAUAGCAGGUCAGAGGUGAAAUCCUAUGGCUUAACCAUAGAACUGCAUUUGAAACUGUUAUUCUAGAGUAUGGGAGAGGUAGGCGGAAUUCUUGGUGUAGGGGUAAAAUCCGUAGAGAUCAAGAGGAAUACUCAUUGCGAAGGCGACCUGCUAGAACAUAACUGACGUUGAUGCGCGAAAGCGUGGGGAGCAAACAGGAUUAGAUACCCGAGUAGUC